GGCGCGGAAUUGUGCGCACAUUGCAGGCGGCGCGCCGGGCCAGCGGGUAGAUCGGCUGAUCGCCCGUCAGUUAUCAACUUCGCGGCACUGCUGCUGCCCGCCGUCGUCGUCGCGUCUCGCGUGUGCUCCGAGACUUGAUGUUUCAGUGUUUUGGACUUAUCUAACGCCAAUCUAGUCCGCCUGCCCGCCAGGAUGGCCCUCAAACACCCGUUGACCUCUUUGACUGCAUUACUUUUUCUGAAAUACUGCAUUGCUGCAUCCAUGGUGAAACCUCUCAUCAGCAAAAUGUAUCUGAAGCUGUCAAUGAUAAACUAACUCGUUUUGAUGAAUUUGACUGGGAACUUUGCAAGGAAGAAAGUCCAGACUACACCCUUCACUUUGGUACCAGCACUUUCAUUGAUAAGUCGAUCAAACCACACAGUGAGUUCUCAGGCAAACUGAAGCAAAUUUACAACUCAAGUAUCAUCAAAGUGCCUUUAAGCAGCCAGACAAUGUGGUCACGGAAGUGAACUCUUGGGCAAAAUUAGUGACUCAUGGUUACAUUGAAAAAUUCUUGUCCAAAGGUAUUGUCCUCAAUUAAUUAUAUCUAAACCAUAUCUAUAAACCCAGGGCUGUGUUUAUAUAAAUACUAAUGUUAAAACAGGAAAAAAACUAAAAUAUUUAAGUAAUUUUCCCAAUACCCAAGGUGUUAAGGGGUCACAAUUUCGAAAAUUGGUAA
rnacentral:lncRNA from 1 species